ACAGGAAAUGUGUCCGGAGCUCUGCCAGGCCCCGUGCAGCCCUGCGGUCAGGAACACAGCUGGCGCCAGGGCACAGGGAACGCAGUCGCCCAGAAGGUCAAACACCCUGUUUAGGGCAGGAGAAAAAGAAAGAAAAAUCGCCACUGGGAAGAAGUGUAUCGUUUUCCCUGCUCAGGGAGUUUCACAACCUCAGAUCCCAAAGCACUUUGGUGAACACUGGCAGGAAAGGCUGGAGAAGAGGAACUUGCUGAGCGCCCACGCGCGCCCACUGUGCUCCGUCCGGAGCGGUGGUGGAGUUGGCCUCACAGCAAUGUGUAGAAGGCUCCAGCCUUCGCCAGUCCCGCGACUGUGGGGGGUGGAAAAAACCUUGUGAGAAGCAGAAGCAUCUCCCUUUGCCACCAGAGGCAGCACGACGUAAGCACAAGUCUCUUCCCGGCUCUGCUCCUCUGUGCUGUGGAAGGAGAUCCAGGCGUGCUAAUUGCUGGUCAAAGAACUUACAGUUCCGUUCCGGUAUCUUAAAAGGGAGAGCCUGCUUCUGAGAACUCUCCUUUCCCUGAGAGCUUCCUGCCCUGAAGGCACUGACCUUUCCACCUACAUCCAUCACCUGAGCUAGAUCCCAGUGCAGCUGCUAAAUUUGGGGAAGCCCCUGCAGUGAAGUGUUACCACAGCAGGUCUUUUUGGAAAUUUAGACCUGCCUUUCCCUGACAUUGGGCCAGCAGUGAGGACCAGCGAGGGGACCCUAUCUGUGUACCUUCCUGCUCACCAAGGCUCUGAGAUGCCUCUAGACUCAAAAGACACACCACGCUUGUUGUUAGCUGAGAAAAAUAGAAGACUAAUGGUGAUCUGACACAAUGACAGCCGAUUUCCCCUCUCCAGGGCAGCAGCAACGUUCCAUUUAUCUUGAGCCCUUUGUGGGUGGGCUACCUGUGUUCUUCUUCUCCUUAUGAACAAGGAUGGGCAGGGUGGACAAGGGGGCAGCAGUGGUGCAACUGGGCCUCUUGUAGAAAGAUAGGACUAAAGAAGA